CUCCAUUCAGCAGAACCGGCAUUUUACAUUUAAAUCUAUAACUUUAACAAUACUUGGUAGAUUUAAAUGAAUGGACGUUCGAUAGAUAGCUGGGGUCUGAGUGCACAGUUCGUGAGAAUACCGCUCAGAUUCCAGCUAAAACAACCGAACGCCGCACGAAACACACUUUGCCAGUGAGUUUGCCCCAAAGUACCGAACACCGAUGGGGGAACCCUAAUAGCGGAAGACCGGAGCUCCCGAACGGCCUGGAAGUCCAGCGGUGUUCGCGCCGAGUAGCCGUUUUCAGUUCCACGCGCUCGACGACCAAACACCGCUGGGGAGACAAAGGAUCCAAGAUGGCUGACCGCCACGUGGUCGGUAGCCGAACGGUGGCCCCCUAGGAAAGCCUCUAAUUACCGAUUGCAACAUUGUUGCAAUCGGUUAACGAGCGCCACACGUCGCUCUCUGUGUGGGCUAUUAGGGGGUAGCUCAUUCGGUUCACGAACAGCCUGUAAAGUGGCUGUUCGUGAAACGAAACACAUGAAUGCUAGCAUAUGAAUUCAAU